UGCACGUAUACGACCAGAUGGCCUGAAGUAACUCAAGAAUCACAAAAGAAGUGAAAAGGCCCUGCCCUGCCUUAACUGAUGACAUUCCACCAUUGUGAUUUGUUCCUACCCCACAUUAACUGAGUGAUUAACCCUGUGAAUUUCCUUCUCCUGGCUCAGAAGCUCCCCCACUGAGCACCUUGUGACUCCUGCCCCUGCCCACCAGAGAACAAUCCCCUUUGACUGUAAUUUUCCAUUACCUUCCCAAAUCCUAUAAAACGGCCCCACCCCUAUCUCCCUUCGCUGACUCUCUUUUCGGACUCAGCCCACCUGCACCCAGGUGAAAUAAACAGCCAUGUUGCUCACACAAAGCCUGUUUGGUGGUCUCUUCACACGGACACGCAUGAAAUUUGGUGCCGUGACUCAGAUCGGGGGACCUCCCUUGGGAGAUCAAUCCCCUGUACUCCUGUUCUUUGCUCCAUGAGAAAGAUCCACCUAUCACCUCAAGUCCUCAGACCAACCAGCACAAGGAACAUCUCACCAAUUUUAAAUCAGGUAAGCGGCCUCUUCUUACUCUCUUCUCCAACCUCUCUCACUGUCCCUCAACCACUUUCUCCUUUCCACUCUUCAAUCUCUCCCUUCUCUUAAUUUCAAUUCCUUUCAUUUUCUGGGAGAGACAAAGGAGACACGUUUUAUCCAUGGACCCAAAACUCUGGCGCCAGUCACGGACUGGGAAGGCAGCCUUCCCUUGGUGUUUAAUCAUUGCAGGGACGCCUCUCUGAUUAUACAUCCAUGUUUCAAGGGUGUCAGACCACACAGGGAUGCCUGCCUUUGUCCUUCACCCUUAGCGGCAAGUCCCGCUUUUCUGGGGAAGGGGCAAGUACCUCAACCCCUUCUCUCCUUGUCUCUACCCCUUCUCUGCUUUUCUGGGAGAGGGGCAAGUACCCCUCAACCCCUUCUCCUUCACCCUUAGCGGCAAGUCCCGCUUUUCUAGGGGGCAAGAACCCCCAAUCCCUUAUUUCCACACCCCAACCUCUUAUCUCUGUGCCCUAAUUCCUUAUUUCCAUGCCCCAACCCUUUCUCUGCUUUUCUGGAGGGCAAGAAACCCCUACCGCUUCUCCGUGUCUCUACUCUUUUCUCUGGGCUUGCCUCCUUCACUAUGGGCAAGUUUCCACCUUCCAUUCCUCCUUCUUCUCCCUUAGCCUAUAUUCUUAAGAACUUAAAACCUCUUCAACUCUCACCUGACCUAAAAUCUAAGCAUCUUAUUUUCUUCUGCAAUGCCGCUUGACCCCAAUACAAACUCGACAGUAGUUCCAAAUAGCUGGAAAAUGGCACUUUCAAUUUUUCCAUCCUACAAGAUCUAAAUAAUUCUUGUAGUAAAAUGGGCAAAUGGUCUGAGGUGCCUGACAUCCAGGCAUUCUUUUACACAUCAGUCCCUUCCUAGUCUCUGUGCCCAGUGCAACUCGUCCCAAAUCUUCCUUCUUUCCCUCCCUCCUGUCCCCUCAGUCCCAACCCCAAGCGUUGCUGAGUCUUUCUAAUCUUCCUUUUCUACAGACCCAUCUGACCUCUCCCCUCCUCGCCAGGCCAAGCUAGGUCCCAAUUCUUCCUUGGCCUCUGCUCCUCCACCCUGUAAUCUUUUUAUCGCCUCCCCUCCUCACACCUGGUCCAGCUUACAGUUUCGUUGUGUGACUAGCCCUCCCCCACCUGCCCAGCAAUUUACUCUUAAAAAGGUGGCUGGAGCCAAAGGCAUAGUCAAGGUUAAUGCUCCUUUUUCUUUAUCCCAAAUCAGAAGCCUUUAGGCUCUUUUUUAUCAAAUAUAAAAACCCAGCCCAGUUCAUGGCUCGUUCGGCAGCAACCCUGAGACACUUUACAGCCCUAGACCCUAAAAGGUCAAAAGGCCAUUUUAUUCUCAAUAUACAUUUUAUUACCCAAUCUGCUCCCGACAUUAAAUAAAACUCCAAAAAUUAGAAUCUGGCCCUCAAACCCCACAACAGGACUUAAUUAACCCAUCUUCAAGGUGUACAAUAACAAAAAAAAAAGUUGCAAUUCCUUGCUUCCACUGUGAGACAAACCCCAGCCACAUCUCCAGCACACAACAACUUCCAAACGCCUGAACUGCAGUGGCCAGGCGUUCCUCCAGAACCUCCUCCCCCAGGAAAUUGCUACAAGUGCCAGAAAUCUGACCACCAGGCCAAGGAAUGCCUGCAGCCCAGGAUUCCUCCUAAGCAGUGUCCCAUCUGUGUGGGACCCCACUGGAAAUCGGACUGUUCAACUCACCUGGCAGCCACUCCCAGAGCCCCUGGAACUCUGGCCCAAGGCUCUCUGACUGACUCCUUCUUGGCUUAGCAGCUGAAGACUGAUGCUGCCUGAUUGCCUCGGAAGCCCCGUAGACCAUCACGGACGCCGAGCUUCAGGUAACUCUCACAGUGGAGGGUAAGUCCAUCCCCUUCUUAAUCAAUAUGGAGGCUACCCACUCCACAUUACCUUCUUAAGGGCCUGUUUCCCUUGCCUCCAUAACUGUUGUGGGUAUUGACGGCCAGGCUUCUAAACUUGUUAAAACUCCCCAACUCUGGUGCCAACUUAGACAAUACUCUUUUAUGCACUCUUUUUUAGUUAUCCCCACCUGCCCAGGUCCCUUAUUAGGCCGAGAUAUUUUAACCAAAUUAUCUGCUUCCCUGACUAUUCCUGGACUAUAGCCGCAUCUCAUUGCUGCCCUUCUUCCCAAUCCAAAGCCUCCUAUGCGUCCUCCUCUUGUAUUGCCCCACCUUAACCCACAAGUAUAAGAUACCUCUACUCCCUCCUUGGCGAUGGUUCACGCACCCCUUACCAUCUCAUUAAAACCUAAUCACCCUUACCCCACUCAAUGCCAAUAUCCCAUCCCACAGCACGCUUUAAAAGGAUUAAAGCCUGUUAUCACUCGCCUGCUACAGCAUGGGCUUCUAAAACCUAUAAACUCUCCUUUCCCUUCCCCCAUUUUACCUGUCCUAAAACCAGACAAGGCUUACAAGUUAGUUCAGAAUCUGCGCCUUAUCAACCAAAUUGUUUUGCCUAUCCACCCUGUGGUGCCAAACCCAUACACUCUCCUAUCCUCAAUACCUCCUUCUACUACCCAUUAUUCUGUUCUGGAUCUCAAACAUGCUUUCUUUACUAUUCCUUUGCACCCUUCAUCCCAGCCUCUCUUUGCCUUCACUUAGACUGACCCUGACACCCAUUAGGCUCAGCAAAUUACCUGGGCUGUACUGCCGCAAGGCUUCACAGACAGCCGCCAUUACUUCAGUUAAGCCCAAAUUUCAUCCUCAUCUGUUACCUAUCUCGGCAUAAUUCUCAUAAAAACACACGUGCUCUCCCUGCUGAUCGUGUCCGAUUAAUCUCCCAAACCUCAAUCCCUUACAAAAGAACAACUCCUUUCCUUCCUAGGCAUGGUUAGUGCGGUCAGAAUUCUUACACAAGAGCCAGGACCGCACCGUGUAGCCUUUCUGUCCAAACAACUUGACCUUACUGUUUUAGCCUGGCCCUCAUGUCUGCGUGCAGCAGCUGCCGCUGCUUUAAUACUGUUAGAGGCCCUAAAAAUCACAAACUAUGCUCAACUCACUCUCUACAUUUCUCAUAACUUCCAAAAUCUAUUUUCUUCCUCAUAUCUGACGCAUAUACUUUCUGCUCCCCGGCUCUUUCACAAUUACCAUUGUUCCUGGCCCGGACUUUCACAUUAUUCCUGAUACCACACCUGACCCCCAUGACUGUAUCUCUCUGAUCCACCUGAUAUUCACACCAUUUCCCCAUAUUUCCUUCUUUACUGUUCCUCACCCUGAUCACGCUUGAUUUAUUGAUGGCAGUUCCACCAGGCCUAAUCGCCACACACCAGCAAAGGCAGGCUAUGCUAUAGUACAAGCCACUAGCCCACCUCUCAGGACCUCUCAUUUCCUUUCCAUCGUGGAAAUCUGUCCUCAAGGAAAUAACUUCUCAGUGUUCCAUCUGCUAUUCUACUACUACUCAGGGAUUAUUCAGGCCCCCUCCCUUCCCUACACAUCAAGCCCAAGGAUUUGCCCCCCACCCAGGACUGGCAAAUUAGCUUUACUCAACAUGUCCUGAGUCAGGAAACUAAAAUACCUCUUAGUCUAAAUAGACACUUUCACUGAAUAAGUAAAGGCCUUUCCUACAGGGUCUGAGAAGGCCACCGCAGUCAUUUCUUCCCUUCUGUCAGACAUAAUUCCUCAGUUUAGCCUUCCCACCUGUAUACAGUCUGAUAACAGACUAGCCUUUAUUAGUCAAAUCAGCCAAGCAGUUUUUCAGGUUCUUAGUAUU
rnacentral:lncRNA from 1 species